AUCCUAUUUGAUUCAACUCUACACACCAAACUACUUGGUUAGAUUUAGAUCCCAAUUUUAACCUUCAGUGAGUUUAUUUGCUUCAUCUUCCAGAUCUGUCAUGUAUUCAUGGUAUAAUCAAAGUCACUGGUAAUGCCAGUGGCAAGGAGACAGCCUUGUGACCUGCCAUUAGGAUCCAACUUUUAGAAAGUAAAGGCAUCUCAAUGUCUGGCUUAGUUCAUUCUCCAGAGACUAUCUCAAUGGAACCUAGUUAGUAGAUAUUUCUAGAUCUUAUUAACUACAUAGACAAACCAUGGUUAAUGUAUUAUACAAUCCUGUUUCCACACACGUAUAGGUUUUCAGCAACUUUUUGCAAAAUUGAGCUAUUAAAUCUAAGUUAAAUGAAAUGAGUCCUACUGUACAGCCAUGCUCAGAUGCCACAUAUUUUAUGAGCAAUGGAUAUAACAAAGUGGAAGAUCUAUGGCUUGUGAAUAGAAGAGGAUUUAUCAAUUAGAGAAGCUAUAGACUGGAAAAAUUUGAAAUAUUUAAAAGUUAUUGAAAAUGCUUAAAAAGAUUAUUGUGAAAAUGAAAUUAUAGCAAAUGAUAAUUGAGUAAGCUAUCUCAAAGCCCAAUGCUUUAUACUUUAUUUUCAAAUUGAAAUAUCAACUUUUAUCAGUCAACAACUAUCAAGCACCUGCUUUGUCCCAAUUUCAGUGUCAAAAAGAAACAGACUAGUUAUAUAUACUUUAAGAAUUAACAUAAACUUUCAGUUCUUAAAAUGUAUUAUAUCUAAGGAAAACUAUUUGUGUAGUUAAGUCUCUGAAAAUAGAGCUUUAGCAUAUAAAUUAUAAUACCACCUAAAUAAUUAUAUUUGAAACCAAAUAAAGGAUUUCCCUUUGCAAUUAAAUAGCUUUUAUUCCCAGAAAGCCAAUCAUAGUUUAAUCUAAAAAAUUUAUUUAACAUAGUGUACACAUCUAUUUCACUAGCUAUAUAGGGGGAAAUUAACAGAAUUAAAGCUUUGAAAGAAAAUGUGAAAUAUAAUUAGUUGGAUUCAGCCUCUUUACAUGUAUAACCACGUUAUAAAAUCAAGGCGUAUUAUAACUGUUACAUUUAAAAAGUUCAAAGUAGUGUUUUAAAUAUUUCAAAUAGAGUAAUUUGUAUUUUGAAGUCCAUAGCAUGGUAAUUUCUGAUAUUAACAAGUUAUAAAAAGUUGGCUAACAUGCAAGAGUUUCUUCAUUUUGAUGAUUCAGGAUAAAAAGAACUCAAAAAAAUGGAAAAGUGUGCAUUUAAAACUCUGUAUAUGGCAGUUAACAAAAAAAGAGAAAAAAAGAUUACAGCCAAGACAACAAACCACUUGGUAUGAGCUAUCUUAUUUUUCGGAGUCAUUCAUCAGUACCAGUCAUGAUCACGCUUCAGCUGAGACUUCAAUCUAUAUUGUUGUUUAUAUUCAUGAGAAUAAAGAUCCCCUUCCACAUUUUUCUUCCUACUUGUUUUUUUGAGGAGAGCUUUUCUACUUUAUUACAAAGAGAAGAAGCCUUUAUGU
rnacentral:lncRNA from 1 species